rnacentral:rRNA from 1 species
UAGGUGUGGGGGACAUUCCACGUUUUCCGCGCCGUAGCUAACGCAUUAAGUGCCCCGCCUGGGGAGUACGGCCGCAAGGCUAAAACUCAAAGGAAUUGACGGGGGCCCGCACAAGCGGCGGAGCAUGCGGAUUAAUUCGAUGCAACGCGAAGAACCUUACCAAGGCUUGACAUGAACCGGAAUGAUGCAGAGAUGUGUCAGCCACUUGUGGCCGGUUUACAGGUGGUGCAUGGUUGUCGUCAGCUCGUGUCGUGAGAUGUUGGGUUAAGUCCCGCAACGAGCGCAACCCUCGUUCCAUGUUGCCAGCGGGUUAUGCCGGGGACUCAUGGGAGACUGCCGGGGUCAACUCGGAGGAAGGUGGGGACGACGUCAAAUCAUCAUGCCCCUUAUGCCUUGGGCUUCACGCAUGCUACAAUGGCCGGUACAAAGGGUUGCGAUACUGUGAGGUGGAGCUAAUCCCAAAAAGCCGGUCUCAGUUCGGAUUGAGGUCUGCAACUCGACCUCAUGAAGUUGGAGUCGCUAGUAAUCGCAGAUCAGCAACGCUGCGGUGAAUACGUUCCCGGGCCUUGUACACACCGCCCGUCAAGUCACGAAAGUUGGUAACACCCGAAGCCGGUGGCCUAACCCCUUGUGGGAGGGAGCCGUCGAAGGUGGGGCUG